CCUACGGGAGGCAGCAGUGAGGAAUAUUGGACAAUGGAGGCAACUCUGAUCCAGCCAUGCCGCGUGCAGGAAGACGGCCCUAUGGGUUGUAAACUGCUUUUAUACAGGAAGAAAUAUAUCUACGUGUAGAUAUUUGACGGUACUGUACGAAUAAGGAUCGGCUAACUCCGUGCCAGCAGCCGCGGUAAUACGGAGGAUCCAAGCGUUAUCCGGAAUCAUUGGGUUUAAAGGGUCCGUAGGCGGUCUAAUAAGUCAGAGGUGAAAUCCUACAGCUCAACUGUAGAAUUGCCUUUGAUACUGUUAGACUUGAGUUAUUGUGAAGUAGUUAGAAUGUGUAGUGUAGCGGUGAAAUGCAUAGAUAUUACACAGAAUACCGAUUGCGAAGGCAGAUUACUAACAAUAUACUGACGCUGAGGGACGAAAGCGUGGGUAGCGAACAGGAUUAGAUACCCUGGUAG
rnacentral:rRNA from 1 species